rnacentral:rRNA from 1 species
UACAGAGGGUGCAAGCGUUGCUCGGAAUCAUUGGGCGUAAAGGGUAGGUAGGUGGUCUCAUUUGUGUGGGUGAAAGCCUUGGGCUUAACUCAAGAAGUGCCCCGCAAACGGUGAGACUGGAGUCCUAGAGAGGCUAGCGGAAUUCCCGGUGUAGCGGUGAAAAUGCGUAGAGAUCGGGAGGAACACCAGAGGCGAAGGCGGCUAGCUGGAUAGGCACUGACACUCAACUACGAAAGCGUGGGGAGCAAACAGG